GAUGAACGCUAGCGGGAGGCCUAAUACAUGCAAGUCGAACGGGUGAAUUAGCUUCGGUUGGUUCACUAGUGGCGCACGGGUGAGUAACGCGUACGCAAUCUGCCCUAUGCUGGGGAAUAGCCCUGGGAAACUGGGAGUAAUACGCCAUAGUUCUACGGAUCUGCAUGGAUUUGUAGAUAAAGCUGCGGCGGCAUAGGAUGAGCGUGCGUCUGAUUAGGUAGUUGGUGAGGUAACGGCUCACCAAGCCGACGAUCAGUAAGGGGCGUGAGAGCGUGGCCCCUCACACGGGUACUGAGACACGGACCCGACUCCUACGGGAGGCAGCAGUAAGGAAUCUUCCGCAAUGGACGAAAGUCUGACGGAGCAACGCCGCGUGAGUGAUGAAGGUUUUCGGAUCGUAAAACUCUGUUGUUAGGGAAGAACAAGUGCCGUUCGAAAGGGCGGCACCUUGACGGUACCUAACGAGAAAGCCACGGCUAACUACGUGCCAGCAGCCGCGGUAAAGUACG
rnacentral:rRNA from 1 species